AAAUGGAUACGUGGUGAUUUGAGCCAGUCGGCUUGCGUCCACGUAAAAAAAUCGCUAAAAAUGACUGGGGGAUACCCGG
rnacentral:ncRNA from 2 species